AGUGAACGCUGGCGGUAGGCCUAACACAUGCAAGUCGAACGGCAGCACAGUAAGAGCUUGCUCUUACGGGUGGCGAGUGGCGGACGGGUGAGGAAUAUAUCGGAAUCUACUUUUUCGUGGGGGAUAACGUAGGGAAACUUACGCUAAUACCGCAUCCGACCUACGGGUGAAAGCAGGGGAUCUUCGGACCUUGCGCGAUUGAAUGAGCCGAUGUCGGAUUAGCUAGUUGGCGGGGUAAAGGCCCACCAAGGCGACGAUCCGUAGCUGGUCUGAGAGGAUGAUCAGCCACACUGGAACUGAGACACGGUCCAGACUCCUACGAUAGGCAGCAGUGGGGAAUAUUGGACAAUGGGCGCAAGCCUGAUCCAGCCAUACCGCGUGGGUGAAGAAGGCCUUCGGGUUGUAAAGCCCUUUUGUUGGGAAAGAAAAGCAGCAGGUUAAGACCCCGCUGUUCUGACGGUACCCAAAGAAUAAGCACCGGCUAACUUCGUG
rnacentral:rRNA from 1 species